AAGCACUUGAGGCUGCUCAAUAUACACAAAUGUAAAAGAAGAAAAGAAAAGAGUUUUCCUGUAUAUGGUUUUAAGAGCAAUGGAAUAAAUAUGGUUCCUCAAAAUUACAAGUUGAACUUAAACAACACUAUAAAAUCUGACCAAAAUGCAAGUAUAAUGAGUCACAUGUCCAAACAUCAGAGCCUUUUACAUGUCUUCACUGGUAAACUAGCCUAUAAUUUAUCACUGGUGGAUGACGGCUGAAUGAUCCUCUAAGAUCAAUACUCAUCUUAGAUUCAGCAAAGCAUACAGCCUCACUACUGCUUGCCAAAACCCUUCUUUUUAAGGAGUGCCAAAGCCUUCCAAGCCCAAUAAGAGAAAUAGCUAUCUUUCCAUUUUGCACCAAUUGACAACAUUGCUCCAGGAGUUCAGGAACAACUUUCGGCUAUGAUCACAUUCAGUCCUCCAGAAUCUUUGGGGAGAUUAACACGUUUCGAAAUUUACUACAUUAAUCACUUGAUGCAUUCCACCUGCAUUGUUAAAUCCUUGAUUCCUGCAUCGUGCAAUAUGUGUGAAACCUGUGCCUUCAUCGAAGCCUUGUCCGUUUCUGAUGAGACAUGGAGAUGGAGAGUCCCAACAAUGUCUGUAUUAGUAAAACUCCAAACACGCAAGUUCUGAAUGCCACGUACUCCCUUAAUCUUCAUAAUAUCAUUUACGGCUACUCUCAGAUCUUGCUCAUGAGCCCUAGGAACUCUUUGAAGCAGAAUUUCAGCAGAGUUCCUGAGUAAUGGAAUAACUGAAGACACAAUCAAAACAGAAAUAAAAAUUGAGCAGGCAGGAUCAGCAACAAGCCAUCCUUUGUACUUAAUUAGGAGGGUGGAUAUAACAACUCCAACACUUCCCAUUGUGUCUGCCAGUACAUGCAAAAAUAUUCCCUCCAUGUUGUGGUCAAUGUGGUGAUGGUGGCGUUUUUGUGAUUCCUCUUCAUUAGAUAUCUGUUGGGAACAACUAUUUCUCAAGGAAGAAUUUCUUUUAGAGUCUGAAUGGUAAGAGUGGCUAAGUGUAUGGGGGAAAUUCCCAUGGGCGUGGUGAUGGUCAAGGGGUUCAUGAUCAUGAGAAUGGUUAUGGUGAGCAUGGUCAUGGUGAGCAUGGUCAUGGUGGUCAUGGUCAACGUGACUGUGAUUGUUGCAGUGGUGAUCAUGAGUAUGGUGAUGGCCAUUAUGGCAAUUGGAGCUCCCACGACCCUGGUGGUCACAGUGCUCAUGUUCACCAUGGUCACAGGGGCUAGUCAAUGCCUUGUCAUGGCAGUCAUGGGAAACAGUGAUACAUUCAUGAUGAUUUUCAUGACCUUCAUUAUGAUUUGAAUGUUGGUGAUGGUGGUGAGUGUGGGAGUGGGAGUGGGAGUGGGAUUGGGCGUGGGAGUGGGAGUGGGAGUGAGAGUGAGAGUGAGAGUGAACGUGAGGGUGAGCGUGAGCGUGCUUGGUGUUGCCGUAUACAGAGAUGAGUUUGUUUGGAUCUGCAUCUCGAUCUGGACCACUCGAAGGAUCGUGAAGGUCACUACCACCGACGCCCCCACCAAAAGAUGAAGAUUCAUGUCCUGCCAAAUGCAGAGA
rnacentral:misc_RNA from 1 species